rnacentral:rRNA from 1 species
UACAGAGGGAGCGAGCGUUAUCCGGAAUGAUUGGGCGUAAAGCGUCUGUAGGUGGUUUAGAAAGUCUACUGUCAAAUACCAAGGCUCAACCUUGGGCAGGCAGUAGAGUACUUUUAGACUAGAGUGUGGUAGAGGUAGAGGGAAUCCCUAGCGUAACAGUGAAAUGUGUAGAUUUUAGGGAGAACACCAACGGCGAAGCGACUCUGCUGGGCCGACACUGACACUGAGAGACGAAAGCUAAGGGGAGCGAAUGGG